rnacentral:rRNA from 1 species
AGCCUUGGGAUUUUUAUUAUAAUCUAAGGUCAAGCCUGCCCAAUGUAGUACGUACGAUGAAUGGCCGCAGUACUCUGACUGUGCGAAGGUAGCAUAAUCAGUUGGCUUUUAAAUGGAGUCUUGUAUGAAAGGAAUAACGUGGUGAAGCUGUCUCUACUUUGUUUUAUCAAACUUACUAAGAAGGUGAAAAUUCCUUCCAUAAGAAAAAAGACGAGAAGACCCUUAGAGUUUUUAUUAAAGUUUUCAAGUUAAAAACUAAAUUUUUGUUGGGGCGACAAGGAAACAACUAACUUUCCUCUGGAUGUUUUUACCAGCCGGCUUUUUCAAGCAAGGACAAACUACCUGAGGGAUAACAGCAUAAUUCUUUUUUGAGUUUGUGACCUCGAUGUUGGACUAGGAACUUAACAGACUAGCCGUCUGUAUUUGUGGUUCUGUUCGAACCCUCUCUCCU